GGGCCGGUGGUCCAGCCUGGUUAAGACGCCGCGUUCACACCGCGGAGAUCCCCGGUUCGAAUCCGGGCCGGCCCA
rnacentral:tRNA from 1 species